GGGUCAGCGUGAGUGCAGAGCUGAGCUGCUUGCAGCAUUGUCUGGGCACCGCACUAGCUCUGGGGUGAGGUGGCAAGGCAGACAGGGAAACUGUGUAGCAAGUACACGCUAAUGGGAAAAUGUAAAACUAUUAAAGUGCUACAAGCAAAUUCAGGAAAUCUGUGUGACUUUGGGUGUGGCAUGAGUUUAUAAAUACAACACCCAAAGCACAAUCUGUGAAGGGGAAAUUGAUACGUUUCAAUUUAUCAAAAUUAAAAACUUGUUCUGCAAAAGACCCUCUUCAGAGGAAGAAAAGACAAAGUGCACACUAGGAGAAAAUAGUUACAGGUUACAUAUCUGAUGAAGGACUUGUAUCUACAAUAUGUAAGGCACUCUUAAAACUCAAUUAUAAGAAAACAAGCAACAGAAUUAAAAUAUGGAUGACAGUAAACACAUGAAAAGAUGCUCAG
rnacentral:lncRNA from 1 species